ACAUUGUGGGUUCAGUGGUAGAAUUCCUGCCUUUCAUGUGGGAAACCUGGGUUCAAUUCCCAGCCAGAGUA
rnacentral:tRNA from 1 species